rnacentral:rRNA from 1 species
UGGGGAAUAUUGCACAAUGGACGGAAGUUUGAUGCAGCGACGCCGCGUGGAGGGUGUAGGCCUUCGGGUUGUGAACUCCUUUUUCUCGCGAAAAAGGCACAGUUUUGGCUGUGUUGAUGGUAGUGGGGGAAGAAGCGCCGGCUAACUACGUGCCAGCAGCCGCGGUAAUACGUAGGGCGCGAGCGUUGUCCGGAUUUAUUUGGCGUAAAGAGCUCGUAGGUGGUUCGUCGCGUCUGUCGGGAAAGCCAGCAGCUUAACUGUUAGUCUGCGGUGGGUACGGGCGGGCUUGAGUGCGGUAGGGGUGACUGGAAUUCCUGGUGUAGCGGUGGAAUGCGCAGAUAUCAGGAGGAACACCGAUGGCGAAGGCAGGUCACUGGGCCGUUACUGACACUGAGGAGCGAAAGCGUGGGGAGCGAACAGG